rnacentral:rRNA from 1 species
AUGAACUUACCUGUUGAACUACAUACCACACUUUCUGCAGAAUGGAACCAACAAAAUAUCUUAGCAAGAUGGUCAUGUUUUACGGGAGAGAGGGAGAGAGAGAGACUAACACAUAAAACAAAUAAUUUGCAAGAUAAUAAUCUAACAGUAAAGAAAAAGAAAGACAGGGAAUGGAGGAAUCAAGAAGUACCCUGGGCGACCGCGAGCGCUGCGGAUGUGUCCGCCCAGCACCCAGCACACAGGCAACAAAAUGCGAUGGAUUUCAAGUUUGUUGACUCUCCAAGGUGGAAUCUGGCUAUUCUCUAG